GCAGAGACUGGAGCUCACUCUCCCGUGAGGACACACUCUUCCCCUGGGGGAAUAAAUCUGCUAGCGCCUUUGGUGUGAAAUGUUGGGAUCUUGGAGCAGUCAAGAAAGAAUUCUUGAGACGUCUUUGGUGCCAAAAAUGUGGUUUUAUUAGAACACAAGGACAGGAUCCGUGGGCAGGAAGAGCUGCACUGGGGCUGUAAGGAGUGACUGAUUAUAUACUUUUAAGUUGGGAUUGGUUAGGGAUAGAGUAAGUCUCUACGGAAUUUGGAAGCAAAUUCCAAAUUCCAAAUUCCGGGACCUUGAAGAGCCAGCUGCCGUGAGGGCAGAUCUGCAGGGACGCCUGGGUGACUCAGCCGGUUAAGCGUCCAACUCCUGAUUUUGGCUCGGGUCAUGAUCCCAGGGUGGUGGGAUCAAGUCCUGAGUCAGGCUCCGUGUAGAAGUCUCUACGGAAUUUGGAAGCAAGGUUUCCGGGACCUUGAGGAGCCAGCUGCCGUGAGGAGAAGGUCAUUUACUGCCGUCUAGUAAAACCUCAGUCAUGAGACCCUGCAGCAAAGUGUCAUCAUCGAGGCAGCUGAGCUCCCGAGGGAAUGUCACUGUCCGUCCCAAAGACUUGUCAAUGGGCUGUAAGUUAUAAGGAGCUUUAAUUUUUUCCUGUAUUUCUUUUGCCUUUGUCCCCCACAUGACCUUGAUUUCAGACUUCCAGUUUCUAGGACGCUGAAAAUAAACCCCUGCUGUUUAAGGCCCA